AGUGAACGCUGGCGGUAGGCCUAACACAUGCAAGUCGAACGGCAGCACAGUAAGAGCUUGCUCUUACGGGUGGCGAGUGGCGGACGGGUGAGGAAUACAUCGGAAUCUACUUUUUCGUGGGGGAUAACGUAGGGAAGCUUACGCUAAUACCGCAUACGACCUACGGGUGAAAGCAGGGGAUCUUCGGACCUUGCGCGAUUGAAUGAGCCGAUGUCGGAUUAGCUAGUUGGCGGGGUAAAGGCCCACCAAGGCGACGAUCCGUAGCUGGUCUGAGAGGAUGAUCAGCCACACUGGAACUGAGACACGGUCCAGACUCCUACGGGAGGCAGCAGUGGGGAAUAUUGGACAAUGGGCGCAAGCCUGAUCCAGCCAUACCGCGUGGGUGAAGAAGGCCUUCGGGUUGUAAAGCCCUUUUGUUGGGAAGAAAAGCAGCAGGUUAAUACCCCGCUGUUCUGACGGUACCCAAAGAAUAAGCACCGGCUAACUUCGUG
rnacentral:rRNA from 1 species